rnacentral:rRNA from 1 species
CAGUCGCCGCGGGAAUACGUAGGUCCCGAGCGUUGUCCGGAUUUAUUGGGCGUAAAGCGAGCGCAGGCGGUUAGAUAAGUCUGAAGUUAAAGGCUGUGGCUUAACCAUAGUACGCUUUGGAAACUGUUUAACUUGAGUGCAAGAGGGGAGAGUGGAAUUCCAUGUGUAGCGGUGAAAUGCGUAGAUAUAUGGAAGAACACCGGUGGCGAAAGCGGCUCUCUGGCUUGUAACUGACGCUGAGGCUCGAAAGCGUGGGGCGCAAACAGGAUUAGAUACCCCAGUAGUCCCUGUCUCUUAUACA